ACUCGAAUCUGGGAACCCUGAGACCAGGAAGCUAAGAAGCCAGCACUGGCCUGCUGGAUGAUGAGUACCACCCCUAUGCCUGCUGACAGCCAGCCGACCCCAGAUCUGAUGGGCUCCUGCCUGAGUGUGCCCAGAUGACACCAACUAGAGCAGAGAGAUGGAGUCUACGUUGCCCAGGCUGGUUUUGAACUACUGGGCUCAAGCGAUCCUCCCCCCUCAGCCUAUUGAGCAGCUGAGACUAUAGUGUUUGAACUCACCAUAAGACUGACACACCACGUGCACCAGGGGAUAAGACUUCCAGAGGACUCGGUCACACCAGGAAGGCAAGUUGUACUUCAUCUGCAAAUCAAAGUCAUAGGCUUUAAAAAAUGCCUCUUAUUAUUAUUUUUUUAAUCAGUAAAAGAACAGAUUAACUGGUGGCCUCUGUAAUCCUCAAAUUCAUCGGCUGUUGGCUUUUUAUAGAAUUUCCCUGUAGGUGGCUUUAAACUUUUUUCACAUGGCUCAAGUCCAGACUCCACUGCCACGCCUUCUUCUUUAGACUAAGAUAACUCACCUUGCUGUAUUCCCUCACAUAUCCUCCUGACUACUUCAGUAUCCCUUGUAUCUUCACCUUCUCUUACUUUCUUUCUGACUCAGAUGAACCCCCACCUGUAUUUUCAGCUCAGUCUCUGCUCACUUUCUGCAGUCACUUACUUUAAUAACACACUUCAGCUUCCACCCCCAGUUCUAUUCAUCCAUCUGUCCACCUUUUCAUCUCCCCAUCUACCCAUCUUUACUCAUUCACCCAUCCAUCCAUCCACCUACCCACCUAUUCAUUCAUCCAUCCACCCAUCCACUUAUCUACCUAUUCAUUCAUCUAUCCAUCCACCCAUCCAUCCAACUAC
rnacentral:lncRNA from 1 species